rfam:Hordeum vulgare subsp. vulgare, WGS project CAJW01000000 data, contig: morex_contig_1342452
GGAUGCAAUCAUACCACCACUAAAGCACCGGAUCCCAUCAGAACUCCGAAGGUAAGCGUGCUUGGGCGUGCGUAGUACUAGGAUGGGUGACCUCCUGGGAAGUCCUCAUGUUGGAUUCC